rnacentral:rRNA from 1 species
GAGAAGCUUGCUUCUCUGAUGUUAGCGGCGGACGGGUGAGUAACACGUGGAUAACCUACCUAUAAGACUGGGAUAACUUCGGGAAACCGGAGCUAAUACCGGAUAAUAUUUUGAACCGCAUGGUUCAAAAGUGAAAGACGGUCUUGCUGUCACUUAUAGAUGGAUCCGCGCUGCAUUAGCUAGUUGGUAAGGUAACGGCUUACCAAGGCAACGAUGCAUA